UGUUACUGAUAUAUAUCUGUCUGAUACCCUAUCCCCCCUCCCACCAUUUCGUCUCUCUCAGAACAGCCCAGGUAACGUCGCCGUGAGCCGCCGGCCGGUAAUCGGCUCCGCCGACGGUGAUGCCCCUUGCAUGUCAAAAAUUACACCCUAGAACCAUCUUUCUCUCCUCUUUCCAACCACCAUAUUAGUUUUUCUCGAAUCUCAUCCAAUCGGUUCGAAUCUCCGAUCGAAAAUUUUCUAUCCAUGAUGUUACUUCUUCCAAAUGACGCCAAAAUUACACUACAGGACCGCCCUGUCAUCCUCUUUCGAACCGCCCAAAGCCACGUCUCUUGAAGAUGGCCGAAAAUUCUCAAAUAUCAAUUUGAAGUUCUUGUCAAAACCCUAAGUUCUUCAAUUUUUUUCCAAAUCAACACCACACAAUCACUCCAUCUCCCUUGUAGAGAAUCUGUGGUCAAAGACACUCGAGGCUCGCUGGAAUUGGCCAAUUUGGGAAUCUGAUAUAACCAGUGAGUUUCCCUCUCUUUCUUGGUUUAAUUUUGUUACAGUCUCAUUUGUUUACCAAUUAGCAUUAAUUAGUUAGCUUUAUUCGGUUUAAUUAGGUUUUUUCGUUGUAAUCUCGAUUUCUUAAUUCUGAUUCCGAACUUGGUAAUUAGUUUGAUACUUGGCAAAUUUUUUGGAUUGAUUUCUGUAGUUAAUGUUGUUUCAUUAUUGGUUUUGGUUUGGUAAUUUUAGAUUUUAGUUAAAUUUGGUUUCAAAUCUGUUCAAUCUUAGCUGGAUUGGUUUAAUGUUUCUGUUUGUUUAAUUAUUUAGUAUAAUUGUUCUUUAAUUCAAUAUGGUUGGUUAUAGCUGAAUAGUUUAGUGUUAAUCAACCAUAGUUGAAAUUGUAACUAAGGUAACAGGGUCAAUAGGGGAUUAAAUUCAUCAGGGACUAAUUUAGUAAUUUCAUGUUGUUUAGGGGUAUUUUGGGCUUUUGACAGUAGAAUAAAAUGCUGUAGAAUUUCCUAGAUCUUUCUAGAAUAAGGCUUAGGUCAAAUUUUUUUAAACUUAGGAUAGUAACUUGUGGCAUAAGUUAGAAAUUAAGGGACUAACUAAAUAAAAAAAGGACUAAUAGGAUAUAUAGAAGUUUUCAGGGCUGCCCUCUUGGUGCCUAUAAAAGGGCAUCAUUGAUGCCUUAAAACACAAGUUUUGAGCUCCAAAAAUUCCCCCAAAAAAGUUCUCUCUAGUUUUCCCGAUCUGAAUUUGAAGUUCAAUAUUCAAAAACAAAAACACUAGAAAACCUUCAAAAUUCCAUAAAAAUACUGUCCUAUUGUUAAACCUUUGGCUAGUCUCAAGUUUUAUUUAUUGAUUCACAUUCUUAAGUUUGAUCGUUGGUUGCUGAAGUUCAGAGGUUCAUUUCGAGUGAUUUUGGGUCUAAUUAAGUUAGUUUUUGUUUGAGUUUUGCACUGCUGAAGUUUCAGAUGUUUUGAGUUUAAUUCUGAGGUCGUUUGGGUUUAUUUGAGUCUAUUUUGGGUUGAUCUGUUAUUCCUGUUCAAUUUCAAACACUUUUGGAUUUUUGAAUUCAUUGCUGGACUAUUCUUUUGAUCAUCUGCUCCUUUAUUGUUCAACAAUAAUGGUCGUUAUACAUUGUUGUUGCAUUACUGCCUUAGCUGACCUCUUCUCCCUUUUUAUGUGCAAUUUCCAGGUACUUAAUCAUGAAACUCAAUAUUGUGUAAACAUUCAGCUGGAAAUGAAUUGAAGUGGAGGUAUAUCUCUAUUUAUUUGUUUUUUAGUUGUUCAGUGACUUUAUUGUAGUUCAAUAUAAUAACUACGGAUUGUUUUAGCUUGAGGACUAUUAAACUAAUUAAAUGUAUUCCAGGGAGCAUGAGAAUUCUGUAGUUAGCAGCUUGGUUCAGUUUAUGCUGUUAGAGUGUAGUGUAGAAUUUCAGAGGCCUUCAUAUGUACUUAACUGGAUUGUUUCUUUUUGGAUUGUUUAAACUUGUGAUCAUCUCGUUAUAAGUUUUGUAUAGUAGGUACAUGUUUAAUUUAGCAUUUACUUCUGUUUUAAAAAGAGGAAUCAGAAACUAUUGGAUCUGCAUUGGAUUUUGAAAUCAACUUUAAUUUCAAGUUGAACAUGUGUUGUACUGCAAUAGAUCAUAUCAACAGAGUAGCACUAUAACCAUCCACGACUGUUAAUUUGAAUAAGUGUACCCUGCUAUUUCUGGUUACAAGUUGUUGAGUGCAUUUAAAUAACCUGAAGUGACAUAAGUGAUUAUUUGUUCAAUUGGAACGAUCAAGGAUUGACAGCCCUUUCUGGAUAGUUUGGGCAAGUGCUUUAACAGACGGCCCAGGUCCUGUCUUUGUUAUGUGUUUGUGUGGACCUGGGCCUAUGCUCAAAUUGGCUUGCCUUUUAUGCAUACCAGAAUUAGGACUUCUUACAUGGGUUGUGUUCAAGGCCCAAACGGGUUAAAGGUCUGAAUUUUUGUAAGUUCACGGACCUCACAUACAAGAACAUCAACAAUAUAAUUAACUAAGCUUUUUUAGAGAAAAUCAAAAUUAGAAAAUCGUAGUGACUUUAGGUUUGCCCUUUUGAAUAAUAAAUAAGAUGAGCCUUGCCAAACAAAAUAUGUAAAUUGUGGGGCCCUCAAUAAAUGAUUUUAAUAAAAUAUUUAGACUUCGGGACGAGCAGUUUAGCGAAUUUCACGGCCUCCCAAAAGAUAAUAACGCAUUAGUCACUUUAGGUGUUUUAAUAAAACUACCUUCCUAAACUCGGGUGUGCAUUUCAUGUGACCCAAAUCAAAUCCCAAAAAUAUUGAAUAAGAUAUGUUUAGGAUUGCGAGUGCAUUUCAUGUGACGCGAUCCAAAGACAUGUUUAAAAUGACGUUCAACUUUGUUUCAAAUUUGAAUAAAAGGCGGUUAAAAGUUUAAAAUUGUCACACAGGUUCAUCAUAAAAAAUCAGAUAAAUACGCUAAACACGGCAGUUGAGGGACCGUGCUAGAACCACGGAACCCAGAAAUGCCUAACACCUUCUUCCGGGUUUACAGAAUUCCUUACUCGGAUUUCUAGUUUGCAGACUGUUAACAGGUCAUAAUAUCCUCGUUUCGGGAUUCAACCGGUGACUUGGGACACCAUUAAUCUCCCAAAUGGCGACUCUGAAUCUUAAUAAUAUAUUCCAUUCUGAUUGUUCUUUAAUUGGAAAAACUCUUUUAUGCCCUUGGGGGUGUAGUGAAAAGGAGGUGUGAAAAAUCCCUAACCCCCUAACACUAGUUCAUUUACCCAAAGACAGCCUUCUCUAAAUUCCCUUCGUCUCCCAGAACCUCUCUAGCCCUCCAAAACCCUAACCCUAUUCCACCGAUCUCUGUCUCAUUUCCACUGAAAUCCACGGCAAUCCUAGUCAUGGAUGGCCUAUACCUACUCUGCCUCACCCUCAGCUUGAGUUACUCGAAGCUUGGAGGCCUGACUUCCAUGGUUUCCUUUAGAUCUGUCUCAUAUCUGCAAGAUAUAUGGCCUUUACGACCAUUUCCAGCAUGUUCAAGGCAAUAUGCGUCUCUUCGACUUAGGAUCCGACUUUCCUCAAGACCUUCUCAGUCUAGGGUCUUCUCUGCCAUUUUUAAGCCUUCUAAGGUUCUAUACUCGUUCAUUUAUUUUAGAUCUGUGACAUGUUUGGUCCUUACUUGACGUUUUAAGGGUUUUCCCAAAAUUUUCUUUCUCAAAGCCAUUCAAAUAUGAUUUUUAGGGUUUCUGGAAAAAAUUUCUUUAAACGCUUUCUGACUCUUUUGCUUUAUCUUAUGUGCGUUCAUCUCGCUUGUUUAUUUCUUAUUAUGCUCGAGUUUGUUUUCUUAUUUCGAUUUUUUGCAAGAUCUUUUUUGUUGUUCCUUGUUCACGUGUUUAAUAGGUUGUUUGUCCUUUACUCUUUGCUAUGUGUUCGUUCUCUUUGAUUUUGUUUCACUUUACUAAGUUUUGUUGGUACUCCUGCUAAGUAUUGCUCUUACCUGCUUUGUUUAAACUUCUGUGAUCUGUUUUGAAUUCCAAGAUUUUCUCAAGCAUGCCUUUGAAUCAAAGUAUUUUCUAUCACGCAAGUUUGCCUCUCUCAAUAAUUUCUUACCUCUUAUUCUAUUUGAAACCCUAAAAUUUGGGGGUUUAUCUUUUAGUAUAUGGCACUAGGGUUUCACUUUGGAAUCCUAGGUUUCCAUACUCACUGUGAGCCUGGAACUGAAUUCAGAAUCCUACUUGCCUGUGAUUCUGAAAUUCUCAUUGUUAAGCUUUCCUUUUGUCUUAACUGCAUGCAUAUAUAUGAGGAAAAACCUCCCUUUCAAAUAUUUCACCAGGAUUGAUUUUGAAAUCCCUUUAAUCAUGCUAGUGAUUCAUCACUGAUUUCUUUCGAUUGAAUCUCUUUCACUCUACUACUAUUUAUUUUGAUUCUUUUGUGUAAAAAUCCUAGGCUUGUGAUGUUUUCCUUAAAUACAUGGUCUUGUGUAUCUCUCAUGUGAUUCUGUACCAACAUUUGAAUUAUUCUUUCUUUAUUUACUAGAGGUUCUUAGUGAUUAAAUUGGAUCCUGGAUCCUUUUGACUGAUUUUCAAACGGAUACCUUAUUUUUACUUUAUAAAGAACACUACUAUUCCAUCUUUCCUUAAUUACCAACUAUGUAUGUUACCUUAUUUGUGCACUAUAUGGUUUUCUUACCUUAAUCAGGCCUUAGUAACUGAUUUUUUCCUCCUUAUUCCAUCUUGAUUAGCCGUUUGACUUAGACCCCUUAAUUAAAGGAGUCUAGUUGCCUUAAUUGAUACUAAUUGAUUGGUUCCUAUGUUUUUGUACUCUUUGUCCGCCUCACUUAUUUUCAAAAGCUAUAUAAGGACCUAGUCCUUCCUCUUUCUAUCAUCAAUCGACUCUCAGAAAUCGGAAACACACGAAAAUACACCAACUCACACACUGAACUCACUCUUUUCUUGCAAUACUGCUUUCUAAUCCUGCUUUGCUUGCGCUCUUUUGGAACUGCUGUUUGCAAUUUGGUUCUUUCAAGGAUACUUUUGCUUAGUUAUUUAGUGUGAAACUGGUAUGUUCUUUAUUUAAAUAUUCUGCCUCAUCCCCUAUGUGAUUACUUUACAGUUUCAGACUUCUUGUUUACCUUACAAUUUAUAUGCUGUAAUUUGUGCUCCAUGUCUCUUUCUUUGCUUCUGUUUCUGUUUUGAAUCCUCUACCCCGAUUCCCUUCUAUGUCCUGAGUUAAGCUUUUGGACUGACAAUAUUCUCUUUACUACCCAG
rnacentral:lncRNA from 1 species